UGGGGAAUAUUGCACAAUGGGCGGAAGCCUGAUGCAGCAACGCCGCGUGAGUGAUGAAGGCCUUCGGGUUGUAAAGCUCUGUCUUUUGGGACGAUAAUGACGGUACCAAAGGAGGAAGCCACGGCUAACUACGUGCCAGCAGCCGCGGUAAUACGUAGGUGGCAAGCGUUGUCCGGAUUUACUGGGCGUAAAGGAUGCGUAGGCGGAUUUUUAAGUGGGAUGUGAAAUACCCGGGCUUAACUUGGGUGCUGCAUUUCAAACUGGGAAUCUAGAGUGCGGGAGAGGAGAAUGGAAUUCCUAGUGUAGCGGUGAAAUGCGUAGAGAUUAGGAAGAACACCAGUGGCGAAGGCGACUCUCUGGACCGUAACUGACGCUGAGGCAUGAAAGCGUGGGUAGCAAACAGGAUUAGAUACCCUGGUAGUCCACGCCGUAAACGAUGAGUACUAGGUGUAGGAGGUAUCGACCCCUUCUGUGCCGCAGUUAACACAAUAAGUACUCCGCCUGGGAAGUACGAUCGCAAGAUU
rnacentral:rRNA from 1 species